UUUAAUGACAGACAGAACCCUUAAGCCAGACUGGAUCUGAUGGCUCUUGGGACCUGCUGGAGAAAAUAACAGCUUAUUACUGCUCCCUCUCCAAGAACGAACAGGAAAUUAGAGCUCUGAAAUGGAAGUAAUUUAGAAGUAAUAGUAGAAAGGUAAUGCAGUGUAGCAACAAAGGUCAUAUUUCACCAUUUUCUAACUGUGCAACUCCCAAGCAGUGCACAGGUUGAAGUAAAUGACAGUUCAACUAAAAGCAACAGAGCAGCUAAAUUGCUCCCAGUACCACUGCUUUUUUUUUUUUUUAUGCUGAAAGCAACAGAUCAAAUUCAGA